CCUCACUCCCACUGCAUACUCACGCUCUCCUAACCCUUAAUCCUCUUUCUACCUCUGGUCCACCACGAAGCUGCUUCUGGCUUUCCUCCACCGGGAAACCACUUCUCUACAAACCGCGUUUCGUUCACGCAAGAUGUGUUCUGCGAUUUGUUGGAUUUCAAGGUACAAAAGGUGACUACCACUUCUGCAAUACACGUUUCAAGGUGAUUUUUGUUGGAUGAAUUGGCGUUUCCGUUUCCGUGCUGUGUUUUUUACUGGAUCCACGAACUGAUUUUUUACAGGAUGAAAUUCAUUUCUCGGUUCAGUUAGAGGUUCAAAACGUCAACUGAUUUUCUACGGUGUUUUAAUCAUCUGCAACUUGCUUAUGGUUCUGAAAUUUUGCAAGAGUGCAACGCUAUUCCCAGCUAAGUUCUGAAAUCACGUCUACUGAUUUUACUGCUUUGAGAACGAAAUCAGUAUUAAAGUUUUAUAGCAGUUCAGGGAGAUGAUCAAGGAUUACUUCUGUUCCAAUUCCUGUAAGUUGCUUCUUACUCAUCAUCUUAACUCUAGGUAAUUUAUUGUUUGUUACGGUAUUUUAGGAAUUCCUUUUUAACUUUAGUCUGAAUUAAAUAUAGAUUUUUAAACCAUAUAUCAAUCUAGGUUUAAAAAACAGUGAGAAGUGGACUAAUUAGUAUUUCUUUAGUACUUGAAGUGCAGAGUAUAGUAAACACGAUGCAAGAAAAAAGAAAACAGAGAAGAAAAGAAGGACGAGGGAGAUAAAAAGAGAACGAAGAGGUGUGUUUUACGUUUUGAUGUAUCUGAUAACUCUUUUUGCAGCUUUCAUAUGUGUUUCGUUUGGACAGUGCAUGAACCUUGAAAGAAUACUCACAACAUUUAGGAUGUCAGGUCUGGUUGUUGUUAAGUACAUCAGACAACCUAUCAAACUUCUAAACUUAGAUUCAUUAACCUUGUCAGAACCAUCAUCUUUGAUUAGCUUCUCCUUUUGAUUCAUGGGAGUGUUCACAGUUUUGCAAUCUUCCAUCAGAAAUUUCUUGAGUAUUUCCUUUGCAUGUUUUCUUUGACUUAAGAAAACUUCAUCCUGAUUCUGUUUGAUCUCAAUGCCAAGAAAGUAUGACAUAAGACCAAGAUCUGUCAUUUCAAAGACCUUUUUCAUUUCCAGUUUGAACUGGUUGAUUUCUUCAACAUUGCUUCCUGUAACUAACAUGACAUCCACAUAAAGAGAAAUUACCAAAAUAUUUGUACCUUGAUGUUUGACAUACAAUGUGAGUUCAGAUUGGCUUUUAUGAAAGCCAAGGUGCACCAGAUGAUCAUCAACCUUGUUGUACCAGGCUCGUGGAGCUAGCUUUAAUCCAUAUAAAUCCUUUUUCAAAAAGUAGACUUUAUUUUCAUUGCCCUCAUUCACAAAGCCUUCAGGUUGUUCAACAAAAAUUUCUUCUUGCAAAUCUCCAUUUAAGAAUGCAGAUUUAACAUCCAAAUGGUAUACUUUCCAGCUCCUUUGAGCAGCAAGAGCAAGCAAUAAUAUUACAGUGUCAAGCCUGGCAACAGGUGCAAAUGUCUUUGAAUAAUCAACACCAAAAACUUGUGCAUAUCCUUUCACAACAAGUCUUGCUUUGAAUUUGUUGAUAGAACCAUCAGGACUUAGCUUGGUUCUGAAAACCCAUCUUACUCCAAUUAUUUUUCUGUUUAGUCGACCAACCAACUCCCAGGUUUUAUUUUUCUCAAUCAUAGAAAGCUCCUCCUACAUUGCAGCCAUCCAGUGUUGACUGUUUUUUGCAUCGUGAAAUCCUGCAGGCUCACAAACAGCUACAUUGCACCUUUGACAGAUGUCAGACAAUAGUCUUGUUCCUCUGACAGGUGCAUCAUCAACUGUAGCAUCAUCUUCAGAUUCUUCAGUCAUGCUCCCAAGGGUUGAACUGUUUGGAGCAUUUGGACUUUGAUUCACCUUAGUUGAACUUUCCCAAUCCCAUUGUUCAUUUUCAACAAAAUGAACAUCUCUGCUUACAAUCACACGACCAAUUUGUGGCUGAAAAAUUUUGUAAGCUUUGGAUACAGUGCUAUAUCCAACAAAGAUGCUUGCUUAUGCUUUUUUAUCAAGCUUAUCACGCUUGACCUGUGGAAUAUAAGUGAAGCAAAGACAACCAAAUAUUUUGAGAAAUUUUAAAGAAGGUUUGUAGCCAUACCAAGCUUCAUAUGGUGUCAGAUCUUUCAAGGCUUUUGUAGAAAUUCGAUUUUGUAGGAAUACAACAGUGUUUGUUGCCUCCCCCCAUAACCCUUUUGGAAGAUUCUUUUCAUGGAGCAUACACCUUGUCAUCUCCAUAAUGAAUCUGUUCUUCCUUUCACUGACACCAUUCUGUCGAGGAGUAUAUGGUGUUGUUAAUUGAUGUUGAAUUCCAGCUUCUUCACAAAAUUUGUUGAAAGCAUCAGAGGUGUAUUCCUUGCCAUUGUCAGACCUUAUAAUCUGAAUUGAGCAUCCACUUUCAUUUUCAACUCUGGUUUUGAAUUUCCAGAAUAUACUGGGAACCUCUAACUUUUGUUUCAACAUGAAAAUCCAACACAUUCUUGUUAGAUCAUCAAUAAAAAUUAUGUAGUAGAGGUUACCAUUUAAUGAAGGUGUUCUCUGAGGACCACACAAAUCAGUGUGCACCAGUUGCAGCUUUUUCGAGGCUCUCCAAGCUUGUUUAGGGAAAGGUUGUCUGUGUUGCUUCCCAAAAUUGCAGGCAUGACAAGGAGGAAUAUUAUCAUCAAUGUCUGCGAGUCCUUCAACUAGCUUCUUUGAUUGCAUCUGAAACAAUCCUUGAUGAUGAAAGUGCCCAAGUCUUUUGUGCCAAAUCUCAGUGGCACUAGCUCUGGACUUGAAGGCCAUUUGUUCUUUCUCCAUUGGAUUUAAAGCAAAGCUUUUUCCUUUCAUUUUGACAUUGAACAAGUCUUUGCCACUAGCAUCUCUAAUCAAGCACUGUUUAUUCUCAAACAACACUUUAUAGCCUUUAUCGAGUAGGUGGCCAACACUUAAGAGAUUUUGAUCAAUUUUAGGUACAAAUAAAACAUCUGAAACAAAUUUUGUACCUUCAUAGCUUGCUAUAGCUACUGUGCCUUUUUCCCUUGACUUCCAAGAGUUCACCAUUUCCAAUUCUCACUCUCUUAACUUCAGUGUUUUUUAAUUCUUCGAAAAGCUCCUUGUCAUAUGUCAUAUGAUUUGUGCACCCACUGUCAAUCAACCAGCUCUCACUUGAUUCUCUACUUGAGAAACAAGUGACCACGAACAAUUGAUCUUCUUCUUGACCAACAACUUGUGCAUCUACUUCUUGCACCUGACCUUUGACUUUGCAGAUCACAGCUUCAUGUCCAAGUUGAUUGCAUUUGGAGCAUUUUGCAUCGGGUCUUCUCCAACACUUGUAUGGUGGAUGACCUUUCUUCUCACAGUGGCGGCAAGGUGGGUAGGAUUUUUUGGAACCUUCUUCCUUUUUUAAGUUUUUCUUCUUUUUGUACCUGUUGUUGUCUUGAUGCUUGACAGGUAAAGCUCCUUCAAUCACCCCUUCUUGCCUCAUAGACCUUCUUUGCUCUUGUGCUUGUAAAGCAUUCAAGAGCUCUGUAAGAGAGAUUUUUGACAGGUCUUAGGUGUUCUCCAGAGUAGUAAUGGUGGCUUCAAACUUCCCGGGAACAGUGACCUGCAGCUUUUCAACAAUCCUAGAGUCAAUACACACAGAACCAAGUAAUCUCACCUUAUUGGCAAUGCUGAGAAGUCUGUCAGAGUACUCCUUCAUUGACUCAAACUCCUUCCUCUUCUGCAACUCGAAAUCCUGAAUCAAAUUCAGGACUUUCAUUCCACGAAUCCUCUCAUCUCCUGCAAAUUCACCCUUGAGGUAAUCCCAAAUUUCCUUUGUUGUUUUGAGGGACAUUAUUCGUGUGAAGAUCAUUUGAGAUAUAACUGCAAAUAGGCAAGCUUUUUCCUUUGAUUUUAUGGUUUUUUUCUCCUUCUAUGCUUUGAUUUGUGCAACAGUAGGAUUUGCUGGAAGUGGAGGGACUUCGUAAUCUUCUUCUACUGCUUCCCAAAGAUCCAAAGCCUUCAGAUAAGUCUCCAUACGAAUUGCCCACAUUUGAUAAUUGUCUCCAUCAAAGACUGGUGGUGCAACAGCUGAAAAACUUGAUUCUCCUUCCAUUUUGACCUCACAGAUCCCUUAAGAAGAGUGCUUUGAUACCAAUUUGUUAGUUUCAAAACAAAUAAUAUUUGAUUGAUCAAUUGAGAUGAUAUAUUAAAGUUGGAAAGUUGUGCAUUUGUACACAGAAUGAAUAAAGAUUGUUCUAAAAAACAGAAAAUAAAUAUGGUAACAAACCAAUAGUUAAAACAGAAUUAAUUAAUUUUCUAAAAAUCUGGAGACUUAUUCAAUAACAAAAAAAAGCUAACUUGUAGGAUGUUAAACACAUGAUCCUAACAAACAUUCUUAAAUAUCAACUUUUUUUUAAAAGAACUAUAGAAAAGGUUUCAUAAAACCAAUAAAAGAAGAAAGAGUUUGGUUACUGACUUACCACGUCAAAAACAGCCUUAAGUUAACU
rnacentral:lncRNA from 1 species